AGGUGGCCGCAGAGAAUAGGCCCAAGCGACUGUUUACCAAAAACAUAGGUUUCUGCUAAGUCGCAAGACGAUGUAUAGGAGCUGACGCCUGCCCGGUGCUGGAAGGUUAAGGGGAUCUGUUAGAGUAAUCGAAGCAGUGAACUUAAGCCCCAGUAAACGGCGGCCGUAACUAUAACGGUCCUAAGGUAGCGAAAUUCCUUGUCGGGUAAGUUCCGACCCG
rnacentral:rRNA from 1 species